rnacentral:lncRNA from 1 species
GUCCAAUCUAAAUUAAACCCAAGAGUUAAUUUAUCGGAUCAACAAGUGAACUCUGUUACUUUCAAUUUAUUUUGAAAUGUAAAAUAUUAUGUUUCACUACCUCGGUAGAUUACCGACUUGAAAUAUUUGAAUUUAAAAAAGAAACUGUAAAGUGACAAAUAGUUUUGUAUGCAAUGUGGCAGCUCUAUAUUCAUAAAUACUGAGAUACAUUCGCCGCCCAGACACAACAC